GUCUGAAGGUGAGAAUGAUGAAUGCUUCAACUCUGAAGUUUUGUAGGGAGAUGGUGCUGGAGUAUAAAACCUGGCAAAUGUAGCCUCAGCUCCAAAAGAUUGGGCCCAAAGGAUGAACAACAUUCCUCCAAGUCAAGACCUCUGUGCUUUAAGCAGUGGCUGCCACCAAUCAUUCGCAUAAGAUGUCAUGCAACCUUUCCAGAUGUGUGUCUGUGGAACCUGUUCACGAUGUGUGGCUCAUCUCAUUUCCUUAAUUCUAAAGCAACUGAUGCUACAGAUUAAAAUAAAAAAUAACACAUCAAGGCAUAUUGAAACGAUUAUAAAUUUG
rnacentral:lncRNA from 1 species